rnacentral:rRNA from 1 species
GAUGAACGCUAGCGGCAGGCUUAAUACAUGCAAGUCGUGGGGCAGCAUGAGUAGCAAUACUUGAUGGCGACCGGCAAACGGGUGCGGAACACGUACACAACCUUCCGAUAAGUGGGGAAUAGCCCAGAGAAAUUUGGAUUAAUACCCCGUAACAUAUAGAGUAGGCAUCUUCUUUAUAUUAUGGCUUCGGCGCUUAUUGAUGGGUGUGCGUCUGAUUAGGUAGUUGGCGGGGUAACGGCCCACCAAGCCUACGAUCAGUAGCUGAUGUGAGAGCAUGAUCAGCCACACGGGCACUGAGACACGGGCCCGACUCCUACGGGAGGCAGCAGUAAGGAAUAUUGGACAAUGGGCGAAAGCCUGAUCCAGCCAUGCCGCGUGAAGGAUUAAGGUCCUCUGGAUUGUAAACUUCUUUUAUUUGGGACGAAAAAAGGGAAUUCUUUCCCACUUGACGGUACCAAGUGAAUAAGCACCGGCUAACUCCGUGCCAGCAGCCGCAGUAAUAC